CCUCAGCACACCCGGUGGCAGGGUACCAAGAGGAAUUUAACAUUCCACUCCUACCGCCCUCCUCCGCUUCCCGGCUUCCGCAAAGUGGUUUUAAAAUCAGAAGCACAUCCCUAGCGCUCUGUGUAGGUGGUGACGUGGGAGGGGGUGAAAUGCAACCUUUAUUUUCCUAACUGCCUGUCAUCCAAUUCCCCGUUUCCCUCUGACUUUCAUGAGUGAUGAGGUCAUCCCGGCGCAGAAAAAUCAAACUCCUAUUUUUCAGACCCAAUAAAGGCCGGCAUUGUGUGUCUGCGUAAACACAGGCCAGACGGGCAGGGCGGCGGGGACACGAGUGGCCCGCCCUCUGGCGGUCGCAGGAGACGAUGGUGCCCCGAGCUCCACCGCCCCGAACAACGGCAGGGAGGCGGAGAGGGUGCGUGCUAAAAUGUAUCCUUUUCCACUUAUUAUAAAAUCUUUGAGUUGGAAGAAAAUUUAGAGGACAUUUGUUCAAAUCUACCACUUAAGAUGGGCACUUCUGGAUUCAAACUGGUGUUCCAGGUUACUUCAUUAAAGGAGCUAAUUGGCUUAGUCCACAUCCAUGGUAACAUCUUCUUGAAGCAAAAUGUGGAACAAGGUCUCCUGGCAACUGGAAACUAGUGGCCACUGCCCUUUUGCCCAGAAAAAAGGGGGCUAUCGUUGAACCAGGUGGAACCCAGAGGACACAGGCAGGCAGUCAGGCCGAGCUGCUUGCUGAUGCUAAUUAUCCUAGCCCAGUGCUUCCCUUCUGGGGAAGUAGGAGGAGAGAAAUUCAUGCCAAGUUCUUGCACAAGGUCAAAUGUUUCUGGAGGAAGGCAGCCAGGGUUAAAUUAGCAGUCAGAAUGAGGUAGAAAGCUGGGUGGAGAAAAACAGGCUGGGAGAAGGGGGGAGAAGUCUGGAAAUUCAAAUAAAGACAGCAGUAGAAAGUAAUUACUAACACAUUUCCCAACUUGGAAAGCUAGCCACAUCCCACACCAGGGCCAGACUCAGAGCUGUUCUGUUCCAAGAAGGUUGGAGCAGGCUCAGGCACAGGAAGGGACUGUGCAAGCCAGCUGCCUGUCCCUGGCUUUGGAGCUGUGCUCCCCGAAAAGGAAAAUUCAUCUUGAACGAGAAAGCAAAGGACAUUGCUGCCUAAAUUCUCCAUUAAGAUCAACACUCUCCAUACAUUCAAUAUAUCUGUCCUUCCAGGACUACCCAACAGCAAAAAGUCAUCAAACAUCAAAACAAAGGAAACAGAAAUCUUCUAGGAAAAUGUAAGCCUUUGUGAACCUAAAAUAUUUUCCUUCUCUGCUGCUCAUCAACAUAACCGGAGGAAAGAAACUGUUUGUGGGAGGGACAGAUCUCAGGAGAAGAGGAGGAGGUGAAGGAAAAAAAAGGAAAAGAGAAGCAAUGCUCUCUGGUGUCAAGAAGAAAAUCAUGAUUGGAUUGACUGGAAUGAACUGUUUUGACAGUUGAUUUUUAUUAUUUUUUCCCCCUCCAACUUCAGAACCAUGACAGACAAUUGUGGAACAUCAAAUUCACGAGCGAAUACUUCAUCAGAUCUGGUUGCCUCAACAACUAAAAUAGCCAAAAUGUUAAGACAGUCAAAUAAGAUUGAUUAUUUCUGAUACAAUCUGUGGGUGGUUGACCCAAGAAUUCUCAGCCUAAUCACACAUAUAAACACAGAGGCCGUCGUUUCAGCAGAUGCAGAAGCAGGCAGCGGACAAGUGAAAAAACCGUCAAUCACCUGGAUGGAUGCUCAUCACUGCCGUGCCACGGAGCAGUGUGAAGAGAAACACCCAGAAAAGCCUCCGGAUUGCUUCUGGGUGCUGGGUGUCAUAGGAGGCAGCCAGCCUUAAAAAGCUGGGAAUUCUGAUCCUUCCGGUUUCUAGCAAAAAGACAGAGUCUGCUUGUAAUGGAAAAACAGAUUCCCUCAAAUUGUUGUCUAGAGGUGCUGAAUCAUGCAUGAAUGUCAGGAGAUGACGCCAACCACAGCAUCAUUUCAUGGGGACUUUAUCUGGUGUGAACCAAGAGAAUUGUACUUUAUGAAUUUUCUUUAAGCAUCCACAGAUAAUUGUUGUGCUGGGUCAUAUACCAAAAGGGAAAUUAAAUCUCUCUCAUAAUUGGAUUUGGUAUUUGCAGCCUUUCCUGAAGACAAGGGAAAGGAAAUUCAUUUCAGAAUUAAAGAAAAAUCUUGAAUUAAAGAAUUGCAAUCACCGUAUCAGGUGCCUGUCUGAAUUUAACCCACUGCUUGCAGAGGGAUGAACGCCUUAGGGUGAUGGCGCAGGUACAAAAGGUUCCUGAGCGUCACACUUGUUUGUUUGUUUGGCUAAGUUUUUCCUUUUCAUUGUGAGUUCUAAGAAAAUUAUUAUUUGAUAGCUUGGUGGCAAUGCAGUCUGUGUUGAGAAAAUAGGAAUUGAUUAAGAAGUGAGAGACUGUGAGAGACUGAAAAUGAGUGGGGGAAAAAAGCCUACAAAGCAUUUACAGUGUAAUUUUCCAAUACAGAUUUGAGCAGAUACCACAUGCAGUUGGAAACAGAUGCAUUUUCAAUGCUUUAUUAUUGAACGAAGAAUAAUUUCUGUUUCCCUCUUUUUAAAGAGAAUCCAAGAAAAUACAAUGCUAAAAUCUACAUAUUAGCAUGGUAUUCACUUGAAUGCCUAAUUGCUUGAAACUUGAAGGAUUCUGUUUCGACUCAGAGAUCCUGACAUGGCUAGCAUGCAGCCAGAUGUUAGGGAAGAAUAUUUGCAAGAAUCAUUUAUGGAAACAAAACAUUAAUCUGUAAAGACGUAUGCUAGAUUAAUUAGCAAGGAUGUUAACUUGAUAUGUGGAUUUCUAAUGAACCUGGGGAUACAUCUGAAUGUAUGUUUAAAACUUAAUAGGGGCACCUGGCUGGCUCAGUCAAUGGAGCGUGUGACUCUUGAUCUUGGGGUUGUGAGUUCAAGCCCUAGGUUGGAAGUACAGAUUACUUAAAAAAUAAAAUGUUUUAAAAAAAAUAAAAUAAAACAUAAUGUCACAUCUUCUUCAAUAACUUUGUAUUUUAUAA